AACGAACGCUGGCGGCAUGCCUAACACAUGCAAGUCGAACGAGACCUUCGGGUCUAGUGGCGCACGGGUGCGUAACGCGUGGGAACCUGCCCUUAGGUUCGGAAUAACUCCCCGAAAGGGGUGCUAAUACCGGAUAAUGUCUUCGGACCAAAGAUUUAUCGCCUUUGGAUGGGCCCGCGUUGGAUUAGCUAGUUGGUAGGGUAAAAGCCUACCAAGGCGACGAUCCAUAGCUGGUCUGAGAGGAUGAUCAGCCACACUGGGACUGAGACACGGCCCAGACUCCUACGGAAGGCAGCAGUGGGGAAUAUUGGACAAUGGGCGAAAGCCUGAUCCAGCAAUGCCGCGUGAGUGAUGAAGGCCUUAGGGUUGUAAAGCUCUUUUACCCGGGAUGAUAAUGACAGUACCGGGAGAAUAAGCUCCGGCUAACUCCGUG
rnacentral:rRNA from 1 species